ACCACAGUACAAUGGUCGUUGAGGCUUCUAAGAAUGCGUCAUGGUCGAAAACCUGCCCCUUUCCUUUCGUUGCUACGGACUACAGCGUGUGACGUUGGGCUACUGAGACUGUGUGCAGGUGUGAUGUGCUGCUCACAAUCAGUGCGCUGUGACGUCAAGGCUCCCAGCUGUGUAGCAUGGUAACUUAACGUAGCUCCGGUCGGAGCGCCAGCUGUCGUCGUCACAACUAUUAAAGACGCUAUCAUGACUUUCGUAUGUACCAUCGUGAGUAUCAUGUCCUCGGACCACGGGCCACAGCGGAUCACAGGAUGUGUGAAACGUAACGAACUCCAAGGUCUGUCUGUGUUUGGUCAAAUGGAUGCACUUCUUCCAGGUCCUCAUUCUCUGCAUCUGGAAUGACUACACACCCUUCUGCAAUUCAGGCUUUCAGUCCCACUGGCAGAUCAUCUUGAUGCAGUGUGCAACAUCAACCUGAACAAAACAAGGUGGCACUUGUUAACACUUUACCAAGUAAGACAACACUCAUUGAUGUAGGUCUUCAGAUCAGGAUGAGGAGUAAAUGCCUUGACCAGAGCUCUAAGCAAAGCCAGAGAAAAGUCACUCACAACCUCUUUUGGAAUUGGUGCACCUGCACGUAUCCAUUCUGUAAGCCAAUGUGUUAUUGCAUUAACAUCGUGUCUCUCUGACAGCAUUUGCACCACUGGGACACUUGAAUUCUCAUCCCCUGCCAGAACACCCUGAUAAGAUAUGGCCAGACAUGCCAUUAGGUCUCAGUUUCCUCACCACUGAGCCAGUUGCAUCAAAACUCAGUGGGGUUAGUAGACUUCUUUGAUAAUGACUUGCUGAGUGACCCCAGAAUGACCUUUGGAAUAUCCUUUUAAUACCCCCUGAACCAUUGCAGCACAAAUUAAACUUUUUACAGCACAAACA